rnacentral:rRNA from 1 species
CGGCGAGUGAGCGGCAACAGCUCAAAUUUGAAAUCUGGCCUUUACGGUCCGAGUUGUAAUUUGGAGAGGAUGUUUUGGGUACCGCCACGGUUUAAAUUUCUUGGAACAGAAUGUCAAAGAGGGUGAGAGUCCCGUCUUGGACCGCGGUAGGGCCUGUGUAAAACUCCUUCGAAGAGUCGACUUGUUUGGGAAUGCAGGUCAAAAUGGGUGGUAAAUUUCAUCUAAAGCUAAAUAUUGGCCAGAGACCGAUAGCGCACAAGUAGAGUGAUCGAAAGAUGAAAAGCACUUUGAAAAGAGAGUUAAACAGUAUGUGAAAUUGUUGAAAGGGAAGCGCUGGCAACCAGACUCGUGCGCGGGGUUCCCCCUUGCUUCUGCUUGGGUCACUUCCCCGUGUCCGGGCCAUCAUCAGUUUCGGGGGCCGGUUAAAGGCCCUGGGAAUGUACCCACGCCUUCGGGGGUGGACUUAUAGCCCAGGGUGUCAUGCGGCCACCCGGGACUGAGGAACGCGCUUCGGCGAGGAUGAUGGCGUAAUGGUUGUCAGCGGC